rnacentral:rRNA from 1 species
CUCAGCAUUUUUUUGGCCCUCACUGGUCUUGUCUGAUUUCAAAAGUUAAGCAUAAUCAGGCCUAUUAAGAACUUGGAUGGGAGACCAUCUGGGAAUACCAUGUUGUUGUCAAGA